AACCGUACUUCUGAGGGAAGGGGAGAC
rnacentral:piRNA from 1 species